GGGGCUGUAGCUCAGUGGCAGAGUUCUUGUCUUACACAUAUGAGGCACUGGGUUCAAUCCUCAGCACCA
rnacentral:tRNA from 1 species